GGGCUGCUGGGACAAGACCUGCUGUUCCCAGGGCCCAUGCUGCCCAGUUCUCCUGGGACAGCUGCCUCUGUGAAGGGUUAAGCCCAGAGUGGCGUGGAAAGGAUGGCUGCAACCUCUGACCUGACCCCACAGCUUCCCCUACAGUCCCGGCUCACCUCGGCCCUCCCACCUUCGUGCAGGAGCCAAGGUUCCAGACUCCAGAACAUCCUAGGAAGCAGAGGGAGAGGAGAGACAAAGCGAGGCUGCAGAGAGAUGAAAGGACUUGCCCAGAGUCACACAGCAGCCAAUGGAGGAGCCAGACUUGAACCCUCGGCCCGCGCUGCACGCGAUGGGGGACUGGUGAAGAGUGUGGACUGAGAUGUGGACACACCUCGGUUCGGAGUUCCAGCUCUGCCAUUUCCUGGUGAUGUGAUCUUGGACAAGCAUCUUAACCUCACUGAGCCUCAGUUUUCUCAUCUGUGAAGUGGGGAUAAUUUUCUUAGGGUUAUUGUGACAUUGCAAUGACAUAGUACAAGUAAAAAAAUGUUUAGCACAGUGUUUGACAAAAGGCCCCCCCAAAAUGUUGACUAUUAUUAUUAUUAUAAAUGCCAGCAAGUCCUCGUGUGAA